CACGUAGGCGGAUAGUUAAGUCGGGGGUGAAAUCCCGGGGCUCAACCCCGGAACUGCCUUCGAUACUGGCUGUCUGGAGGUCGAGAGAGGUGAGUGGAAUUCCGAGUGUAGAGGUGAAAUUCGUAGAUAUUCGGAGGAACACCAGUGGCGAAGGCGGCUCACUGGCUCGAUACUGACGCUGAGGUGCGAAAGCGUGGGGAGCAAACA
rnacentral:rRNA from 1 species